UAAAAUUAAUUCUCAUUAAUAAUGAUGGACUUCAUCUUCCCCAAUUAUUUCUCAUCACAUUUAUGAUUUUUUUUUUGUUGACAGUUUUAUAGUUUCCUUUUAUUAUACUCAAUAUUCAUUCUUUCUUUAAUCAUAUUUUUUAUACCACAAUUAAUAAUUGUUAAAAUAAGAAAAGAAGAAGCAAUAUCCACAUAUUCUUUCGAAUCUCAUGUGCAUUGUGCAAGAAUGAUUUCUUAACCAUGAAAGCAAAAAGAAUGUGUCAAGUGACAAUAUUACAUCUCUCUAUAAAUAACAAGUUGAAUUUGUUGAUUUUUUUAACAGAUUGAAUUUGUUGAUGAUUUGAUAUAGGGACAUGU
rnacentral:lncRNA from 1 species